rnacentral:misc_RNA from 1 species
GAAAGCUGUUCAAAUCAUCUUUGAUCAAAGACCUUAUUAAUUAGUAGGAUAGCGUGUGGCAAAAAGCCAUGUGAAUGUUGUUUCCUUUGUCCAAUCUUUGCAUUCACCGAUCAUAAUUAAUUUCUUUGUUUAUUGGGAGCACUGGCAUCGAAUGUAAUAUACUAACAAAUAAAAGCCGUUUGGUGUGAGCACUCGCCAUGUGAAUGUUG